rnacentral:rRNA from 1 species
GACGAACGCUGGCGGCGUGCUUAACACAUGCAAGUCGAACGGUGAAGCUCCAGCUUGCUGGGGUGGAUCAGUGACGAACGGGUGAGUCACACGAGAGCACCCUGCCCUUGAGUCUGGCAUCAGCGCUGGAAACGUAGUCCAAUACUGGAUACGAGAAGGAUCCGCAUGGGCCCUAUCUGGUAAGUCUUUUGGUUGGGGAUGGGCUCGCGGCCUAUGAGCUUGUUGGUGAGGUAAUGGAUGACCAAGGCGACGACGGGUAGCCGGCCUGAGACGUGGACCGCCCACACUGGGACUGAGACACGGCGCAGACUCCUACGGGAGGCAGCAGUGGGGAAUAUUACACAGUGGGCCAAAGCCUGAUGCAGCGACGCCGCGUUAGGGAUGACGGCCUGCGCGGUGUAAACCGCUUUCGGCAGGGAAGAAGCGAAAAUGACGGUACCGUCAGAAGAAGCACCGGCUAACUACGUG